rnacentral:lncRNA from 1 species
CUGCCUCAGCCUCCCAAAAGGUGUGAGCCAUUGCACCUGGCUGAAGAGUUUAUUUUUUAAUCUAUCAAAACCAGGGAGUUACCUGUUUGUAUGGUGAGUCCACAUCAACAUUUAACAGACAACAGUCACUGUGUUAUUGAGUGGUGAAUAUAAAAGCUUCCUACUUAUGUAGGCUCACAUACAUACAAUGUCUCACUGACUACUUCUAAAUUAUCAUUAGUAUUUUCCAGAGAAAAGGAAGAUUAAAAAUUAAGUUAUAUUUAUUUUGUUCUGAGUGCUGUUUUGGGGAUGAUUUCUUCUAAGUUUCCCACUCACUUUUCAAAACCUUUUGGGAAACUAAUGCCCAAGAAUACAGC